rnacentral:rRNA from 1 species
AGGUCGGGGCGGGAGGCUUACCAUGCAAGUCGAGCGGAACGGUACCAGCUUGCUGGUAGGCGUCGAGCGGCGGACGGGUGAGUAAUACUUAGGAAUCUACCUAGUAGUGGGGGAUAGCUCGGGGAAACUCGAAUUAAUACCGCAUACGACCUACGGGAGAAAGGGGGCAGUUUACUGCUCUCGCUAUUAGAUGAGCCUAAGUCGGAUUAGCUAGAUGGUGGGGUAAAGGCCUACCAUGGCGACGAUCUGUAGCUGGUCUGAGAGGAUGAUCAGCCACACCGGGACUGAGACACGGCCCGGACUCCUACGGGAGGCAGCAGUGGGGAAUAUUGGACAAUGGGGGAAACCCUGAUCCAGCCAUGCCGCGUGUGUGAAGAAGGCCUUUUGGUUGUAAAGCACUUUAAGCAGUGAAGAAGACUCCUCGGUUAAUACCCGUGGACGAUGACAUUAGCUGCAGAAUAAGCACCGGCUAACUCUGUGCCAGCAGCCGCGGUAAUACAGAGGGUGCAAGCGUUAAUCGGAAUUACUGGGCGUAAAGCGAGCGUAGGUGGCUUGAUAAGUCAGAUGUGAAAUCCCCGGGCUUAACCUGGGAACUGCAUCUGAAACUGUUAGGCUAAAGUAGGUGAGAGGAAGGUAGAAUUCCAGGUGUAGCGGUGAAAUACGUAGAGAUCUGGAGGAAUACCGAUGGCGAAGGCAGCCUUCUGGCAUCAUACUGACACUGAGGCUCGAAAGCGUGGGUAGCAAACAGGAUUAGAUGCCCUGGUAGUCCACGCCGUAAACGAUGUCUACUAGUCGUUGGGUCCCUUGAGGACUUAGUGACGCAGCUAACGCAAUAAGUAGACCGCCUGGGGAGUACGGCCGCAAGGUUAAAACUCAAUGAAUUUGACGGGGGCCCGCACAAGCGGUGGAGCAUGUGGUUUAUUCGAUGCAACGCGAGACCUUACCUGGUCUUGACAUAUCUAGAAUCCUGCAGAGAUGCCGGGAGUUGCCUUCCG